rnacentral:tRNA from 1 species
UUAAAAGUAGCUCAGUGUUAGAGCACUUGCCUAGUAUGUGUGAGGCUCUGGGUUUGAUCCCCAGCAUUGCAA